GUCAACUAGUGACAAGAGCAAUUAGAUAAAAUUCCUCGCAACAGUAGAAGACCAACGCAAAAGACGGAAAACAAAUCGGAGCUCGAACGACCAAAAUACGUGCUGAACGGAAAAUCAGAGCCACAAAAAAACAAUGAAAAAUCAGCAGAAAAUAAGAGGGAGCCUGGCCAGAAUUUCAGACGGCACAAAUAUUGACCAGUUCACUGCACUUGAGAAUUUUUGUGCUCUUUGACCAAAACGAGAGAAAGUGCUAGCU
rnacentral:lncRNA from 1 species